UACAGAGGGUGCGAGCGUUUGUCCGGAAUCAUUGGGCGUAAAGGGCGCGUAGGCGGCGCGGUAAGCGUGCGGUGAAAGCCCGGGGCUCAACCCUGGGUCGGCCGUGCGGACUGCCGGGCUGGAGCACUGCAGAGGCAGGUGGAAUUCCGGGUGUAGUGGUGGAAUGCGUAGAGAUCCGGAGGAACACCAGCGGCGAAGGCGGCAUCCUGGACUGGUCCUGACACUCAUGAGCGAAAGCGUGGGGAGCGAUCCGG
rnacentral:rRNA from 1 species